AAUUAAGUUUUUUAGGUGCUCAAUCGAUGCGUAAUCGUUUGGUGGUAACGAAUAUCAUAAUUAAAAUGUUUGGUGGUCGUUAGUUUUCAUAAAAAAUUAAAAAAACGAUUGAGGUGUCCAGCAUUGACUGGAUAUGCGUGUAGGAACACACAUUUACGGUCGAUAAAACAGAUAUUUCUCAACAGAUUCUCCCUUCGGAAGAAUUAAUUAAUGCAAGAACGCUAGCCGAUGAUUGGUAGUCUAAGUAAAACAUUUGGUGGUCAUCAAUUAAUGCACGAGGUGCUCGCCGUGCAGCGGAGGUAUGAUUAUUCAUACCUCAUGCAUUCGAACAUGGUACACUUUGGUUGUUUCAUAGUAUUCAGAUAUCGUUCGUAUAACGUUAUAUAUGUAUAUUUUUAUUCUUGUAUAGAUAAGAAAAUACAAAAUAGAUGUUUGAAGUUUUA